AGAGUUUGAUCCUGGCUCAGGGUGAACGCUGGCGGUGUGCCUAAGACAUGCAAGUCGAACGGGAUUUGUGGUCUUCACUAAGGAGCUUCUCUUCUCUUUAGUGAAGAUCGCCAGUUCAGUGGCAAACGGGUGAGUAUAAGAUAGGAACGUACUUCGAAGCGGGACAUAGCCCACCGAAAGGUGGGGUAAUUUCCCAUAUGCCUACGGGUGAAAGACGCAAGUCACUACGAAAACGGCCUAUCUACUACCAGCUUGUUGGUAAGGUAACGGCUUACCAAGGCGAUGACGGUUACCGGCUCUUAGCGGAGAGUCCGGCACAAUGGGACUGAGACACGGCCCAUACACCUACGGGUGGCAGCAGUUAGGAAUUUUGCGCAAUGGACGAAAGUCUGACGCAGCGACACCGCGUGGAGGAUGAAGACCCUAGGGUUGUAAACUCCUUUUUAGCGGCCAUGAAGGCCACUAGAAUAAGUAGCCACUAACUACGUGCCAGCAGUCGCGGUAAUACGUAGGCUACAAGCGUUACUCGGAUUUAUUGGGCGUAAAGGGUCUGUAGACGGUUUUCUAAGUCUUGUUUCAAAGACCUCGACUUAAUCGAGGAAAGGGGCAAGAUACUGGAAGACUAGAGUGGCAUCGGGGUUACUGGAAUUUUUAGUGUAGGGGUUAAAUCCGUGGAUACUAAAAAGAACACCAAGCGCGAAGGCGGGUAACUAGGUAUUUACUGACGUUCAGAGACGAAAGCUAGGGUAGCAAAUCAGAUUAGAGACCUGAGUAGUCCUAGCCGUAAACAUUGUCCGUUA
rnacentral:rRNA from 1 species